rnacentral:rRNA from 1 species
GGACUACUGGGGUAUCUAAUCCUGUUUGCUACCCACGCUUUCGCGCCUCAGCGUCAAUGUCGGUCCAGUUGGCCGCCUUCGCCACGGGUAUUCUUCCCAAUCUCUACGAAUUUCACCUCUACACUGGGAAUUCUACCAACCUCUACCGAAUUCGAGUAAAGCAGUCUUGAAUGCAAUUCCCGGGUUGAGCCCAGGGCUUUCACAUCCAACUUGCCAAACCGCCUACGCGCCCUUUACGCCCAGUAAUUCCGAACAACGCUAGCUCCCUUCGUAUUACCGCGGCUGCUGGCAC